AGAAUCAACGCUGGCGGCGUGCCUCAGACAUGCAAGUCGAACGAUUAAGACUUCCUUCGGGAAGUGUAUAGAGUGGCGCACGGGUGAGUAACACGUAGGUUAUCUACCUCCGAGUGGGGAAUAACAGUCGGAAACGACUGCUAAUACCGCAUAAUACCGAUAAGGUCAAAGCUUUAGUGCUUGGAGAGGAGCCUGCGGCAGAUUAGCUAGUUGGUAAGGUAAUGGCUUACCAAGGCAACGAUCUGUAUCCGGUCUAAGAGGACGGUCGGACACACUGACACUGAAUAACGGGUCAGACUCCUACGGGAGGCAGCAGUCGGGAAUUUUGGGCAAUGGGCGAAAGCCUGACCCAGCAACGCCGCGUGAAGGAUGAAGUCUUUCGGGAUGUAAACUUCGAAAGAAUAGGAAGAAUAAAUGACGGUACUAUUUUUAAGCCCGGCUAACUCCGUGCCAGCAGCC
rnacentral:rRNA from 1 species